CGGGGUGUAGCGCAGCUGGUAGCGUACCUGGUUUGGGACCAGGGGGUCGCAGGUUCGAGCCCUGUCACCCCGA
rnacentral:tRNA from 1 species